rnacentral:rRNA from 1 species
AGAGUUUGAUCCUGGCUCAGAUUGAACGCUGGCGGCAGGCCUAACACAUGCAAGUCGAGCGGAUGACGGGAGCUUGCUCCUUGAUUCAGCGGCGGACGGGUGAGUAAUGCCUAGGAAUCUGCCUGGUAGUGGGGGACAACGUUCCGAAAGGAGCGCUAAUACCGCAUACGUCCUACGGGAGAAAGUGGGGGAUCUUCGGACCUCACGCUAUCAGAUGAGCCUAGGUCGGAUUAGCUAGUUGGUGAGGUAAAGGCUCACCUAGGCGACGAUCCGUAACUGGUCUGAGAGGAUGAUCAGUCACACUGGAACUGAGACACGGUCCAGACUCCUACGGGAGGCAGCAGUGGGGAAUAUUGCACAAUGGGCGCAAGCCUGAUGCAGCCAUGCCGCGUGUAUGAAGAAGGCCUUCGGGUUGUAAAGUACUUUCAGCGAGGAGGAAGGUGUUGCGGUUAAUAACCGCAGCAAUUGACGUUACUCGCAGAAGAAGCACCGGCUAACUCCGUGCCAGCAGCCGCGGUAAUACGGAGGGUGCAAGCGUUAAUCGGAAUUACUGGGCGUAAAGCGCACGCAGGCGGUCUGUCAAGUCGGAUGUGAAAUCCCCGGGCUCAACCUGGGAACUGCAUCCGAAACUGGCAGGCUAGAGUCUUGUAGAGGGGGGUAGAAUUCCAGGUGUAGCGGUGAAAUGCGUUNAGAUCUGGAAGAAUACCGG